CACGGCCAAAAUCAUAGUUAGCCACCUCGCUCGCCCUUCUUUAGGGCAACAGCUAGGGCUUCCCAAGUCACAGCCACACGUAUUGAAUCUCCUACGGUCAUCGAGAGGCCAACAUCCUACCAUGUUUAUGUGGCACACACGACUUCCCUCGGCAAUAAUCAUAGGUAGAGCCUCUCACCGCCACUUGGCAUUAGCAGGGCAUCACCUGUUACUUGGUUUUAGUUAAGUUCUUCGCCUUGGCACUAGUUAGCAGGCCAGUUCUCUGAAGGUCCUGUUCCCCCUUCACAAUACCCUACUUAAAUCAUUAUUCCUUUUUCAGAAUGUCACAAGAAUCUAUACCCAUCGACGAUAUACCAUUGGACGAAGUACCCAGCAUGCCAGUCAGGCCUGGAUCUCCAGAGGAAUCCCUCACCCCCUCUACCCCCAGGUCCCUGAGAUCCUGGACUAUUCCCAAAAUUGCAGCAGAACUUAGGUUCAGGGGUAUCCCCUUUUCAGCCACCGCUAGAAAGGCAGAGCUAUACAGGCUCUUGAAGGCACAGACCAACGAACCUAGGCCCAGCAGUAGCUCACAAGGGCCGUCUAGAAACACCUCUGAUUCUACACAGGAGACCUUGACUGCUAUUCUGGCCAACCUCCAAACCGACUGCUUACAGUGGAAUCAGCCAUAGCCACCUCAGAUAACCUACCAGGCCCUUCAAUUCCUCCCCUUGUAAUCUCUACUGUUCAGUCUGACACCCCCUCACUCCCCCUCCCCCACCAGCCACAACCACAACCCCAUAUGUCUCACCUGCUCACUCGGUUCCAGCUUCCAUAAAAAAGGAAAUAAUGGAUGGGAAGGACGUAAAUCUAGUUUCCUUACUCAUAGCCUCACAAGACGUCUUUGAGAACAGAACAUACAAUUACGGGGACAUCUCAAUGUUCUUAAAAAUUAGAGACCC